UUUUCCCCCUCCGUUUUCUUAGGAUCAGCAGAACCACAAGACCAAGCCAAUAUAAAACAAGAGUCAGAUCCAAAUAGCUAAACAUAGCAACGCUCCAAAGGAGCCCAGGAAUCUGUUGAAUAGCCAAGCGGCAGACGGAACGUACGAUAUGGACCAUUUCUUUUCUUUUUUGUACGUUUUUUAGUUAGAAAUGUUUUGUGAAUUGGAUUAUAAAAGGUUUGGUGAUAAAGUGGCGUUGUCUGGAGCCAUGAAAAUCUAUUUUUGUUUUGAAGACAUAAGGUGGAGCAUACUUUUAUAAUCCUAUGUUUGUUGAAUUUAUUUCUGACAAUUUACGUCUUUCCUGGUGGAUAAUGGGAAGCCUUCAAGAUGGAGUGGCACAUAAGAACUUAUCGACCUGGAGAGACUUGCCCUUAACUCAAUGGUGACUUCAUUUUAGAAGAUGUUUUUUCCACCUCUCCUCAGAAUGAUUCUCUGUUUAUAACAACGCAUGUUUUUUUUUUCCUUUUUUUUUAAAUUUCCCUGCAAGCCUUUUCUAAAGACCUCUCCACAAGGCACCGACUACAAAGGAUACCCCAACCAUGUACAUUGUGUUGAAACGACUAUUACAAACUGAUUUUUGCUGGAAUAAAGUGUACUUUAGUAAAACCAUCACCCUUCCCCAUAUAACACUAAGUACAAAUAAACACAUUGUUUUCUAAGAA